UCAGAGUGGCGUAGUGGUUUGAGUUUUGGACUAUGACUCUGGAGACCAGGGUUCGAUUCCCAGCUCGAC